rnacentral:lncRNA from 1 species
UGGAUCAAAGUUAAUUUCGAUGGUUCUUUCCAGCACGAUAUAGCUACAAUGCAUGGUUAUGAUGGAAAUUAACGUGGUUCCAAAUGGUAAUAUAAAGAAGAAUAGGCAACACUAGUGUUGUUAUUGCAGAAUACCAAGCUCUAAACGAUGCUCUUGCUUAUGAACUGAGUAGAGAGUGCAGAAAGCCACAGUGGAAGGAGACUCCCUUAAAUUAGUCAUUGGUUAUGUUAAUACGAAGAUGAAGGUCC